rnacentral:lncRNA from 1 species
UGAGAGUGAAUAUGGUGAUGCCACAUAGGAAAUGGCAUUUUGGUUAAUAAUACAUGAGCAUAAGGUUAGUCUUAAAAAAUGUUCUUCUUUUAAUAUAAAAGGGAUGUACUUUUGGUGGAACAAUUAUUUCAAAGUUAUGUACUUGGUAAAUGCUAUAUCAUAUGAAAAGGAUUACAGUUGAGCAUAAACAAUUUUUGGUACUUAAAGGAAGAUCUAGAUCUGUAAUUUGUAAAUUCUCAUUUGUUAAGAUCAUUGCUUACAGAUAUUUUUGGUGUGAUUAAUAGUUGACAGUUAUAAAGUAAAGAAAAAGUGAAGAAAAUGAAGUGAUAAAUAAAGGUUCCUAUUGGUGAUAUUUUAAAUACUUUAUUUUGUGAGUUUUAGUAAUGUGUUCUUUAAUUUUGUAUUUUUGAGAGUUAUAUUAUUAAUUUUGUAUUAAAUUAUUUUUAUGAAAAUAUAGAUAUUAAUUGUUUUUUGGGGUUUUAAAAUAUACUAUUGAUUAAAAUUAUAUAUAGAAUAUUAGAUAUUAUUU